rnacentral:rRNA from 1 species
UACGUAGGUAGCAAGCGUUGUCCGGAAUCAUUGGGCGUAAAGCGCGCGUAGGCGGCCCUGUAAGUCCGUUGUGAAAGUCAAAGGCUCAACCUUUGAAAGCCGAUGGAUACUGCAGGGCUAGAGUCCGGAAGAGGCGAGUGGAAUUCCUGGUGUAGCGGUGGAAUGCGCAGAUAUCAGGAGGAACACCAAUAGCGAAGGCAGCUCGCUGGGACGGUACUGACGCUAAGGCGCGAAAGCGUGGGGAGCGAACAGG